rnacentral:misc_RNA from 2 species
CAACCCUCAAGCCCCCGGGUUUGGUGUUGGGGAUCGGCAAGCCUUCUGGCGAGCCGCCCCCUAAAUCUAGUGGCGGUCUCACUGCAGCCUCCAUUGCGUAGUAGCUAACACCUCGCAACUGGAACGCGGUGCGGCCAUGCCGUUAAACCCCCAACUUCUGAA